GACGUAGGGGGCCAGCGUUGUUCGGAAUUACUGGGCGUAAAGGGCUCGUAGGCGGCCAACUAAGUCAGACGUGAAAUCCCUCGGCUUAACUGGGGAACUGCGUCUGAUACUGGAUGGCUUGGAUUCGGGAGAGGAAUGCGGAAUUCCAGGUGUAGCGGUGAAAUGCGUAGAUAUCUGGAGGAACACCGGUGGCGAAGGCGGCAUUCUGGACCGAUAUUGACGCUGAGGAGCGAAAGCCAGGGGAGCAAACGGG
rnacentral:rRNA from 1 species